GAUGAACGCUAGCUACAGGCUUAACACAUGCAAGUCGCGGGGCAGCAUGGGGGUUGCUUGCAAUCCCCGAUGGCGACCGGCGCACGGGUGAGUAACGCGUAUUCAACCUGCCCUUCACCACGGGAUAACCCGGCGAAAGUCGGACUAAUACCGUAUGUUGUCCAUUGACGGCAUCCGAUUUGGACGAAAGGCUUGGCGGUGAGGGAUGGGGAUGCGUCCGAUUAGCCAGACGGCGGGGUAACGGCCCACCGUGGCUACGAUCGGUAGGGGUUCUGAGAGGAAGGUCCCCCACACUGGAACUGAGACACGGUCCAGACUCCUACGGGAGGCAGCAGUGAGGAAUAUUGGUCAAUGGACGUAAGCCUGAACCAGCCAAGUAGCGUGCAGGAUGACGGCCCUAUGGGUUGUAAACUGCUUUUAUGCGGGGAUAAAGUGGCCCACGUGUGGGCUUUUGCAGGUACCGCAUGAAUAAGGACCGGCUAAUUCCGUG
rnacentral:rRNA from 1 species